GGUGAUGUCAUAUGGCAGGCGUGGGCUGAUUACGGCCGGUUAAGUUAACUGACGUUUUAUCAAAUAUAUACUAGUAUAUAGUACAUAAAAGAAAGUUUGGGCGUCAGAUCAAGAUACAAAUAGAUUAUUAGUUACCUAACAUAUCCCAGAAUCUCCCUCGCUGUCCCUAGCUCUAGCUACUCUAGAGUUCAUGACAUCUGUUAUUUGAAGGCUAGCUGAAAGCCUGAAAAAGACAAGACACUCUAACCAGGGAAAUUCCUUUGCAAGCUUUAGCUAUCUGUUGCCAAAGUAGCGAAGAUUUAGCACUCUCUUGUUGCUACCGGCCGGUUCAUAAACAAACCAUGGACAGACAUUGUUUUUUUUUUCAAAGGACAUAGACAGACAUUGUUGUCGUACGUCAGCCUUCUCUUUUUUCUCGAUUUUUUCAUUAUUGCUGGUCAGCUUUGUCAUGCUUCUUGCUACAAUAGGCUGCUAGUUUCCCAACUUACCUUUCACAAAGUCGUGUAGAACUGUUAUGGAUAUGAUAUGAUACAACCUUUUUUUUUACCAGUGUCGCCGUGUCGGGGAAGAGUUCAUACGCUUGGAAUGAAAGAUGAUGGUGGUAUCAUGUGUGCCAGGUGUCGGUUAACGUACUGGCCAUAUAUAAGCCCAUAAUAGUGACCCGCUUAGUUAACAAUACCAAAUGGGGAAGAGUUAAUUUUAACCUCGAACCUAAAAUAGAUACAUGAUUGCCAAUUAUAUAGCAUGAAAAAUACGUACUUCCUCCAAAUGUAAUGUGCUGGCUCGCGAUAAAUGACACUGAUGCAGUGCUUUGUUUAGACCACCUCAUGGUCAUGCAAGGUUCAAAUAAGUUCCACGCGCGGCCAGACGACUUUAGUUGUCGCGAUUG
rnacentral:lncRNA from 1 species